rnacentral:rRNA from 1 species
AUAUGCUUGUCUCAAAGAUUAAGCCAUGCAUGUCUAAGUUCACACUGUCUCACGGUGAAACCGCGAAUGGCUCAUUAAAUCAGUCGAGGUUCCUUAGAUGACACGAUCCUACUUGGAUAACUGUGGCAAUUCUAGAGCUAAUACAUGCCUAUGAAGCUCCGACCCUCGUGGAAAGAGCGCUUUUAUUAGUUCAAAACCAAUCGCCGGUCGUCUUCGGGCGGCCGGUGUCCCCAUUGGUGACUCUGGAUAACUUUGUGCUGAUCGCAUGGCCUUCGCGCCGGCGACGCAUCUUUCAAAUGUCUGCCCUAUCAAAUGUCGAUGGUACGUGAUAUGCCUACCAUGUUUGUAACGGGUAACGGGGAAUCAGGGUUCGAUUCCGGAGAGGGAGCAUGAGAAACGGCUACCACAUCCAAGGAAGGCAGCAGGCGCGCAACUUACCCACUCCCGGCACGGGGAGGUAGUGACGAAAAAUAACAAUACGGGACUCUCUACGAGGCUCCGUAAUUGGAAUGAGUACACUUUAAACCCUUUAACGAGUAUCUAUUGGAGGGCAAGUCUGGUGCCAGCAGCCGCGGUAAUUCCAGCUCCAAUAGCGUAUAUUAAAGUUGUUGCAGUUAAAAAGCUCGUAGUUGGAUCUCAGGUGCAGGCGGACGGUCCGGCUCGCGCCGGUUCACUGUCCGUAUUUCCUGCCCUACUGGUCUGCCGGCUCUCUCCCGUGGGUGCUCUUCGCUGAGCGUCCCGGGUGGCCGGCGCGUUUACUUUGAAAAAAUUAGAGUGUUCAAAGCAGGCCUCGGCUGCCUGAAUAAUGGUGCAUGGAAUAAUGGAAUAGGACCUCGGUUCUAUUUUGUUGGUUUUCGGAACUGGAGGUAAUGAUUAAAAGGGACAAACGGGGGCAUUCGUAUUGCGGCGUUAGAGGUGAAAUUCUUGGAUCGCCGCAAGACGAGCUACUGCGAAAGCAUUUGUCAAGAAUGUUUUCAUUAAUCAAGAACGAAAGUCA